UGGUUGAAUUAGAGGAGGUUCCCAGCACUCCUGGUGAAGGUGCACCUACCCAGCCCCACGGCCAGCCCUGCCAGGCCCCGGUGUGUGCGCAGUCUUCCUGUAAAUGGGGGACCACAGCCUUUCUCUGCUCUCUGUUCCAGUCCACGUGGCCUGCCGCACCCAGGCAGGCACAGCCAGAUAUCUCUGGGGAGAGCGCCCCCCCCACCCCGGGCUGCUUUUUCCUCUCCUGGAGGACUCUCCAAUUCAGUACCACUGCUGGCCUUACCUAAGGGAGCCAGAACCUUAAGCCAUUAACCCUUUCCAACCUGAUGGGUUCUUCUCUUUGCAGUCAAUGGAAGCCUAAGCAAUGGGCUCAUACGCCGAUGACGAGUUCUCUUCCGUGCUGCUCUCCCUGACUCAUCUGAUGAGCGCGUUCACCUGCCUUGAAGAAGGGAAGUUGCUACCGUUCUGCAGGACUCUCCACGGUGCCGUACGGUGUGAUCCCCAGACCUUGUACUAAAAGCUGUCGAACUCCAAAUGAUCGUCAGACAAGGCUUCCAGCCCAUUCCACUGGACGACCUGAGCAGCCCUCUGGACCAGCAGGACAGUCUUUCCAAGGCCACUGUUGCACACCAUAAGACAGAUAGCAAGAGGAAAUACCCAAAUCCCCCUCGAUGCCCACAUGCCAGCUUCAAAGAAGUUACAGAAAACGGAACUCCAUCCAUAAUCCCAAAGAAGAAUUUUGGGUAUUGCCUCUUGAGGGGGGAAUGUCAGGUAGGAAGUCAGUUAUGAGCUUAUGUGUGUGUGACAUAAAGGCCUAAAGAGAAGACAUCUGUGUCCAGCACAUGCAUCUGCAUCUCAAAGUCAUCCUGACAGUGUUUCAGGGGCAGCCUGGUAUUCGCAUCCUGCCCUGCCCCCUUCCACCUGAUAACCUGCCAGGUGGGGGUCCCGCCCCUUCUGCCUGACAAACCUUCCACAAUCUCCCAGGUGCAGCCCAGUCUCUGCAUCUCAAACACCCUGCUCCGGAUCCCCAUUCUCUAAGGGUCCUGCUCACCCUUCCUCUGAACCCAGGAUGGCGCCAGCUAGGCUUCCUCCUGUCUGAUACCUUCAGGGGAAAACUCAGAUAGGAGCUUCUUACUAUUUACAGCCAUAAAGUCCUUUGUUUCAGGAGGAGAUGUGUGAAGACAGAGACCCAUCUCCUUAAACCCCCCCCACCCCCACCCCCCCGGCCUCAACCGGACUGUGCGCUCAGCCCUCUGCCUCUCUGCUGAGCCGCCCGCCUGGUCUGCCCAGGUGUACUCUCUCCACUCAACCAUGUAACCUCACUCCUUCCUCGCCCCCCCCCCCCAGUCCGAGCGACUGCACCCUUUCCCAGGUCCUGUCUGGAGGGGUGCCCAUCCGUCUUUACAGAUGUCCCUUCCCUAAUAAACCUUG